rnacentral:rRNA from 1 species
AGCGAACGCUGGCGGCAGGCCUAACACAUGCAAGUCGAACGAACCUUUCGGGGUUAGUGGCGGACGGGUGAGUAACACGUGGGAACGUGCCUUUAGGUUCGGAAUAACUCAGGGAAACUUGUGCUAAUACCGAAUGUGCCCUUCGGGGGAAAGAUUAAUCGCCUUUAGAGCGGCCCGCGUCUGAUUAGCUAGUUGGUUGAGGUAAUGGCUCACCAAGGCGACGAUCAGUAACUGGUCUGAGAGGAUGAUCAGCCACAUUGGGACUGAGACACGGCCCAAACUCCUACGGGAGGCAGCAGUGGGGAAUCUUGCGCAAUGAGCGAAAGCCUGACGCAGCCAUGCCGCGUGAAUGAUGAAGGUCUUAGGAUUGUAAAAUUCUUUCACCGGGGACGAUAAUGACGGUACCCGGAGAAGAAGCCCCGGCUAACUUCGUG